rnacentral:rRNA from 1 species
GCUGCAACUGUUUAUUAAAAACACAGCACUGUGCAAAAUCGUAAGAUGACGUAUACGGUGUGACGCCUGCCCGGUGCCGGAAGGUUAAUUGAUGGGGUUAGACUUCGGUCGAAGCUCUUGAUCGAAGCCCCGGUAAACGGCGGCCGUAACUAUAACGGUCCUAAGGUAGCGAAAUUCCUUGUCGGGUAAGUUCCGACCUGCACGAAUGGCGUAAUGAUGGCCACGCUGUCUCCACCCGAGACUCAGUGAAAUUGAAAUCGCUGUGAAGAUGCAGUGUACCCGCGGCUAGACGGAAAGACCCCGUGAACCUUUACUACAGCUUGGCACUGAACAUUGACCCUACAUGUGUAGGAUAGGUGGGAGGCUUUGAAGCACGUACGCCAGUAUGUGUGGAGCCGUCCUUGAAAUACCACCCUUGUAGUGUUGAUGUUCUAACGUCGACCCCUAAUCGGGGUUGCGGACAGUGCCUGGUGGGUAGUUUGACUGGGGCGGUCUCCUCCCAAAGAGUAACGGAGGAGCACGAAGGUGGGCUAAUCACGGUUGGACAUCGUGAGGUUAGUGCAAUGGCAUAAGCCCGCUUGACUGCGAGAAUGACAAUUCGAGCAGGUGCGAAAGCAGGUCAUAGUGAUCCGGUGGUUCUGAAUGGAAGGGCCAUCGCUCAACGGAUAAAAGGUACUCCGGGGAUAACAGGCUGAUACCGCCCAAGAGUUCAUAUCGACGGCGGUGUUUGGCACCUCGAUGUCGGCUCAUCACAUCCUGGGGCUGAAGUCGGUCCCAAGGGUAUGGCUGUUCGCCAUUUAAAGUGGUACGCGAGCUGGGUUUAGAACGUCGUGAGACAGUUCGGUCCCUAUCUGCCGUGGGCGUUGGAAGAUUGAAGGGGGCUGCUCCUAGUACGAGAGGACCGGAGUGGACGAACCUCUGGUGUUCGGGUUGUGUCGCCAGACGCAUUGCCCGGUAGCUAAGUUCGGAAUCGAUAACCGCUGAAAGCAUCUAAGCGGGAAGCGAGCCCUGAGAUGAGUCUUCCCUGAUACUUUAAGUAUCCUAAAGGGUUGUCGGAGACUACGACGUUGAUAGGUCAGGUGUGUAAGUGCUGUGAGGCAUUGAGCUAACUGAUACUAAUUGCCCGUGAGGCUUAACCAUACAACAC